UUCUAGAAUUGCUUAAUUCAGUGGUACCAAUACCAAGUCUUUCCAUCUUUCCUGCCAUCUUUGGCAUAUUGGUCAGGGCUCAGGUUAGUUCGUUCACAGUUUUGACACUGAAGCAGCAUAUCAAGUCCAAACACAACCACCACGGAGGGACUGUUGAUUCCUGUAUCUCUUUUUAGCACAGCAGGAAAUCAUUCCCAGAAGCGUCCAGGAGACUUCCCUCACAUCAUACUUCACUGGCCCAGCUGCCGAUGAACACACACAGUACACACAGAUCUACAUCUCUGCCUCGUUUCUAAGCCAUUGUAUCCAAUGCUUUACAUGUGCCACACUUCAUCCGCUGACCUCCUGAUCAACAGUCGGGGUUCUGUGACGCUGCAAUCAACAUUCUUGGAGAGACCUCGUGGAUUGAACGCCGGUUUCUCUCAGCAAUCAUGCAAAACUCUUGACAGGAAAAGAGAAAUGUACACUGCCAAAUGCAUCUCGACUGCAAGUCAUCGGUUUUAAUGGUAAUUCCAAGUGUCUGACAAAAACUCUGCCAAACAUAUUAGAACUCAGUAUGUCAGCAAACGGCAAAAAUUUGCAUUACAGUCACCUUUCUUUUUCUCCCCAUCACUGAAUUUCUGUGGUCAUAGUUUGGUCAGCCUCAUAAAAAGAGCUGAGAACAUUUUCAAGCCUCAUUCUGAAGAGAGGCAUGGUAGAUAUCUAGUGGUAGACACUGCUCAAGUUCAAAAUCAUUUAUACUAACCACUGCCAAGGGGGAGAGGAAGAAAGGAGAAAAAGGGGUUGAAAUUUUCGAAAAGUUAAUGAAAAGACAAUAUGUUACCCAUUCAGCUAUUUGCCUACUUUGUGUCCAGAACAGUAACUAGCACCCAGCAAGCCUUCCAUACAUAUUUGUGGACUGAGUGAAUGAAUUGUCCUUGGAUGGUCAUAACUCUGAAAUACGGGACAAAGUAAAGGAACAAAGUAAUCACUAACCUGGAAGGAACCUUAAGCAA